rnacentral:rRNA from 1 species
CACCUCUAGCAUUACAAGUAUUAGAGGCAUUGCCUGCCCAGUGACUGUAGUUAAACGGCCGCGGUAUCCUGACCGUGCAAAGGUAGCAUAAUCACUUGUUCCUUAAUUAGGGACUUGUAUGAACGGCUAAACGAGGGUCCAACUGUCUCUUAUUUUUAAUCAGUGAAAUUGACCUUCCAGUGAAGAGGCUGGAAUUUCUUAAUAAGACGAGAAGACCCUAUGGAGCUUAAAUUUAAACUUAUUUAUUUUUUUAACUCACCUAAUGGAACAAAAACAAUAUUAUAAGCCUAAAAUUUUGGUUGGGGUGACCUCGGAGAACAGAAAAUCCUCCGAACGAUUAUAAUAACAUAGACCAACAAGUCAAAGUAACCCAUUUUCCAAUUGACCCAAAACUAUUUGAUCAACGGACCAAGUUACCCUAGGGAUAACAGCGCAAUCCUAUUUAAGAGUUCAUAUCGACAAUAGGGUUUACGACCUCGAUGUUGGAUCAGGACAUCCCAAUGGUGCAGAAGCUAUUAAUGGUUCGUUUGUUCAACG